rnacentral:tRNA from 1 species
UGGAGGUUAGAAUCCUCCCUAGUACA